rnacentral:tRNA from 1 species
GCGGGCGUGGUGGAAUGGUAGACACAGGAGACUUAAAAUCUCCAGGCAGCGAUGCCGUGCCGGUUCGAGUCCGGCCGCCCGCA